rnacentral:lncRNA from 1 species
GCUCUCUGAAGUCUCAUGGUGAGUCGCAGCACCAGGGCCUCUCCCUGCAGAAGGGUGCUCUCACUGCUGCUGGGCGUGACAGGAAGCAGUGGGGUGAGGGCUGGGAGGGCUGAGCACUGAGGCCAGGCAAAGUGACCAGACUCACAAGCCCCCACCCACCCACCUAGAAGAUGAAGACAUGGGUGCUACCUGCUGCUGCCUCCGCUGUGUCUUCUUUUGCUCUGGAUCUGCCGGAAGGAGCCUGGCCCUCAUCUUCACAUGGGGAGGGCAGGUGGGCCAGACAAGGCAGGUCACCCCAGGAAGGGGCGGCUGCCUAGCUGAAGGUAUGUGGUCCAUUGCAAAGAGGGCUUCCUCCACACAUGGCUCUGAGGGUCCUCCAGGCCCUCUCUAAGUGACCAUUUUGUUUCAGCAAAUAGUUUAGCACAGACUGAGGGCAAAGCUCCCAUACCAGGGGCUGGGUGUGGUGUAGUGGUACAGCCUAUGCUAAGCACACAUGAAUCCUGGGCCAGCACGUGCGCGUGCGCACACACACACACAGACACACGCACACACACAUACACACUAUACCCACAUUAGGUACUGGGAAAAGGAAACAAGAAAAAAACGGGAAAUGGGUCUACUCUCAAGGAUAUAAAAUGAUUAAGAAACAAAUCCACUCACAAAAUGGUGCAGUGUGAUGCAGGCUAAUCAGAGGUUCAAGAAUGGGCCGGGUGCAGUGGCACAUGCCUAUAAUUCCAGCAGCUUGGGAGACUGAGGCAGGAGAAUUGCAAGUUCAAAGCCAGCCUCAGCAAAAGUGAGGUGCUAAGCAACUCAGUGAGACCCUGUCUCUAAAUAAAAUACAAAAUAGGGCUGGGGAUGUGGCUCAGUGGUCAAGAGCCCCUGAGUUCAAUUCCUGGUUAACCCUCUACCCCACCCCCACCCCCCAAAAAAUUCAAGAAUGUUAGCACACAAGGAUGACAGUAACCCAUAGAGGUGACUGCUGCCACCUCUGAAAGUACACACUGGCAAGUGGUGACCCACACAGAGCAGGCAGGGGUUUGUGUGAACCCAACCGACUGCAGCCAUGGCGCUCAGGCCUGAGUGUGAGGAAGAGCUAUUGGGAUCUUGAGGUGCAGGUGGUGAGGCGCCAACCUAGAGGUUCUCAGUCAGUAAACUGAGUCAGGCCUGAACCUGCACUUUACAUAAAACCCACAGAUGGAUUCUGCUCUAAGCCAGUCUGCAAACCACACUUUAAGAACCACAAUCAGGAAUUCAAACCAAAGCCCCUCCCUAGAGCAGUCCCAGGGGGCAAAAUAAAUGGGGAUAUUUCCCAUGGUUUGACUCCAGCUACCAGGCAGCACCCUCCGUGGCUCAGUACCACACAUAUACACUUCGUACUACACACACCACACCCCUCACAACCCACCACACACACCACCAACCACACCCCCCACACCCCACAAACCACACACACACCUCACACCACACACACCACAAACCAGAACACACAGACACACCUUACACACCAUAAAUACCACACACACACUCUCACAAACCUCCAUACACCUCACAAACCACACGCAUACCACACCCAUAUAUACCCCCCCACCCCCACCAAAUAUACCAGGAGCCCAUUCACUCCUGGUCUCCAGUGAAUCUGUGACUUGAACAGGCCAAGUUUGUCACCCACGCCAUGAGGCAGCAAGGAGACAAGGGUCCUGACCAUGACUCACUCUCUGCACGUCUUUGCCAUUAGAGAGAAACUGCGUCAGUGCCUCACACUGGCUCAGGCUGCGCAGAAGAGUGAAGGCCCCUGGCUGUUGUUCCUUUACCAGCUCUGCUGUCAGGGGGCCUCGUACCUCAGCACUGAGAUUUAUUGAUCUCAUUUUGCAGACGGAGAAAAUGGAUACAGGGAAAGAAAGUGAUCAGCCAAAGGUGAAGCAGACAAGGCCCUGAGCAGAUUAAGUGUUCAAUAAAUCCGCAGACUGACGCAGAGGGCAGGGGAGGGAUGCUGAGUGCCAGAGGCCAGAUCCCCUCCCGCAGUGUCUAGCAGCGGGGGAAAGAUGGGGCGUGCAGCACCCCUGGCUCUUCCCUGUCCUGGGGCUAGCUGAGGAGAGGGGUGGCCUCCAGCUUCCCAACCCCCUCUCCCCACCCUGUUUCUGGCAGGAGACGGCAAACAGAAGGGAUCACCACAAGGGCAUGUAAAACUUCCUGGUCCUUUGGGGCUGUUGGCACAACUUGAAAGGCUACACCUGGCAUGUGGCAUCUGAGUUACUGCCCACAUCCAAAGGGUACCUCAGAAGAGCCGGCAGCACCUUGCCUGAACAGCCACAAGGGUCAGGAUGGCACGACCACUGUGGCCCUUCAUCCCUCUCCUUGCCCAGGUCCUAUGCAGGGGGUAGCAUUAGGAGCAGAAGCUCCUAAGAAAUGGCAGCUCCAGGGGAGUGCUGGUUCAUCCUGGGGCCUCUUGUGGCAGGUUCCCUCACUACAGUUGGGGUCUUCUCUGCCCAUGGCCACCCUGUCCCCACUCCUACCCUUUCAGGGACCUCUAACUAGAAUUCAGUGAAAUGUCAACCUGGGUUUCAUGUGGGUGAGGAAGAGAGGUCAGUCAGCUCUGGAAAACACUGGCCAGGAGUGCAGCUGCAGGAUGAGGGACCUGGCCACCUGAGAACCACUGCAGUUCUCAGCCCAUGGUAGGGAAUUAAAACCAGCUGUUUCUUUUGCCCACAACUCAACGUAUCAUGGAAAACUAGUGACCUAAAUGUUAUCAGAGAGGCAGCAUGGCUGUGUUGGGGGGCCAUGGCUGCCUUGGGCUUCCCUGGCCAGGGCCACACUUAGAGUACCUCUGUAUGAGUCUCUAGAGUGCCUUUUCCCUCCAGGUUGAGGACAACCAUGUUCUCUCUGGGUCUCUGUCCUGCCAGAUUCUCCCCGUUGCAGUAGGUGGGCCUGGGCCUUGCUGUCCUCCUCAGGGCUGGCCCAGGUGAAAGGAGUGCUGUGGGGGGACACUGGCUACUCCUGCUUCCCUCACAGCUCAAAGAACCUAGAAACCAGAAGCCUUCAGUCUAUGGAGGUGGCCAGGGCAGUGGGGAGCAAUACUGCCUAUUAGCUCAGGGUCUGCUCAGAGCCAUGAAAAGAAAAGCAAGCAAGGCCCAGAGGCAGAGCUGUCACGCGACUCUGAAUUCAAGCCAGGAGCAGGUGGCCAUUAGAAGCCAGGUUCCAGGCUCAUCCUCUAGAGGCCCCAUGGGAGCCCUGGCCCCCUUUCUGGUACCAGCUGUGCAGCCUGGCAUGGAGCCAUACCCAGGAGGGCGCACAGCGUGUGGGGCUGCCAGGGGACUGGAUGCGAGACUCACUCCCCACUUGCUAAUCACUCCCUUCUCCUCCGCCUCAGUUCUCGCACAACCUGCCUGCCCCUGGAGGAAAGCGUGCCCAUCUGACACCUCACCCGCCUGCCCCUGGCUCCCUGUGGCACAUUCAUCUGUCCUUGUCGCUCUUCUGCUCUAUAUUAACCCCAGGGCCUAGUCCGUCCCCUCCUCCUCCUGCCUUCCCCAGGAUGAAGGUCUGUUGCCUGCCCCCAGCUCCAUCCCAGUGAGCCUGCACCCAGGCUAGGUCCAGCCAGGAAGGCCUCCUGCAGCCUCUCCAGCCAUCUUGGGGUAGACUCUGAGUGGUUCAAAGGGAGCUAGAAUCAGCACCGUGAUCAACUCUCCUUCCUCAGCCACCAUGAGGUCGUCCCAUCACUUCCACUCAAGGGAGGCAAGGACUGGGCAGCCUCUUGUCUCUUUGACCAGAAGCUGAAAGAACAGUUUGACCCAAGGAGGCAAUGGGAGGUCCCAGGAGUGUCAGACCAGACUGGUGACCCGGCACCAGAGAGCCAGCAUGAUGGGAAAGGAGAGGAGAAAAGAGUACAGCAGCCUGGUUCCUCAGAUGCCAGGACCAAGCAGGGCGGGGGCACUCCAGGCCUUCUGUGGGCUUUCAGGCCUUUUGUAAAAUGACAGUCCAACUGCUUGAUCUCUAAAACCACUUCUAAGUUUUCCUGAGCCAUGACAAGAAGAAAAAACAUCUUAACUAAAAGCUGAAGCAGCCAGAAAAGCCAACACUACCUGCUUGUGAU